rnacentral:rRNA from 1 species
GGACGGGUGAGUAACGCGUGGGUAACCUGCCCUGUACACACGGAUAACAUACCGAAAGGUAUGCUAAUACGGGAUAACAUAAGAAAGUCGCAUGGAUUUCUUAUCAAAGCUUCUGCGGUACAGGAUGGACCCGCGUCUGAUUAGCUAGUUGGUAAGGUAACGGCUUACCAAGGCGACGAUCAGUAGCCGACCUGAGAGGGUGAUCGGCCACAUUGGAACUGAGACACGGUCCAAACUCCUACGGGAGGCAGCAGUGGGGAAUAUUGCACAAUGGGCGAAAGUCUGAUGCAGCGACGCCGCGUGAGCGAUGAAGGCCUUCGGGUCGUAAAGCUCUGUCCUCAAGGAAGAUAAUGACGGUACUUGAGGAGGAAGCCCCGGCUAACUACGUGCCAGCAGCCGCGGUAAUACGUAGGGGGCUAGCGUUAUCCGGAAUUACUCGGGCGUAAAGGGUGCGUAGGCGGUCUUUCAAGUCAGAAGUGAAAGGCUACGGCUCGACCGUAGUAAGCUUUUGAAACUGUAAGACUUGAGUGCA